ensembl:lncRNA
CAGAGCAGGUCUUGGGGAGGGCGCCCAGUCUCGGCGCCUGAGCUAAGCAGGAGGAAGUGUGUGCGUACGUGUGUGUUUCAUGUUAUUUUUUUUCUUUACAAUUAAAACUGUUUCCAUUUUUUCAUACUUUAUAAGGCAUCUCAUAAAUUUACACACCAGGGAACAUCCCUGGUUGGACCUAUUUAUAAUAAACAUCAUUUAUUUAUAAGGGAGCCAAGGUUUAGGGCCUACCACUCAGCCAGACCUUCCUUUUUGGUUUCCCUAGUCUUUGACUGUUGCACGUGCAUUACCAAUAUAACUGUACCUUGGAUGUCUUUUAUUUGCACAUUUGACGACUGCUUGUUAAGCUUCCACUAUCUGCCAGGCGUUGGGCGGGGCUUUGCGGAGUCAAGGCGAGCAGAACAGACCUGGCCCUGCCCGCAAGGAGGUCGCAGACGUGAACCAGCAAUCACAGACACCUCAAGAUGCAGAGAAUAAGGCGUGACCUGUCUGAGGUCACACUCUAGAAAGGAGCAGCAUCAGGACUCAGAUGCAGGUAUUUGUCCAUAAGCACUCAUCUUAGUCACCAGGAAUGUUGGGGAACACAGUUUUACGUGCUGUGAGGAGACCUGAAGAAAUAUGUCACCCUCCCUGCCCUCAGGGAGCUUACAGUCCAUCCAGGAAGAGGAGAAGAGCACAUGUCAAAAAGCUUCAAGGUUCCAGGUCGUAUGUGUUGAAUGAAUGGAGACAUGAAGCAUAAACGUUUCAAGGAAGGUGUGCGUCUGGGCUGGGUGGCUGCUAACUUCAUGACUGGGACAACACUGAAGACUCUUUCCUGAUACUCUUCAAGUGCUUGUUUCUCUAAAACUACCACUCCUUUCUGGUUUAUAGCCCAGGGCCAUCCUGGACAGUCGCCACCAGGCCUGCCAUCACUAUGGGGUGGCCCAAGGCCAUGUCUGCCAGGAACACCACCAUUUGGUAUUUAUCUAUGCAAAAUUUACAUUGACCGCUGAUGAGCAAAACAGUGCGCUCCACAUAUAGAUUGAGGGUGUGGGGCUUUUGCCACUGGAGUUCCCCCUGUGUUGAGUCACGGUGGCAGAAGGCACAGUGACAGAAGUCCCUGGGAGCCGCUGACUGGCGCUUGGAGGACUGAGUGAUUCAGCAGCGAGGCCCCCCUCUGGCCCUCCUGCCCCAGAAAGCUCUGGAUCUGCACGGAAGCAGCACGGUAAAGGGUGGACGAAUUGUGGGUGUGGAUGCUUUCCCACAAGUCUGUGCUCCCCAGUUCAGUUGUCUGGGCUCUUAUUAAAAGGGUUCGUUCUCCUCCUUAGAGUCAGACGGAGGCCCCCUGUGGGCUGCUGCUUGGGAACGGCCGGGGGUGUUCUCUGGCUGGGGCUUCAGAGGAUGCAAGGACAACCCCACAGAGCAGGAACAGCCUGCCAGUUCCAUGCCCGCAGCGGCCCCCAGAGCAGCUGCCCCAGGACACACGGAUGAGAGGGGAGGGUGUCAGAGGGGCUUCGGUAGACUUGUUGCCAUGGAAGAACUGUGGGACCAGUACAGCCAGACAUCCUAACUUUUCCAGAGAAGCCAUAAAUCUGGAUUUUCCUGUGAAGUCUUCUGACAUUUCACCCUUUGCAACCCAUUAAAUUGUUUUAAAAACACCUCCUGCGUCAAAGAAAAUGACUUUGGGCCACCCUCUUAUGCCCUCCAAUUUAGACCCCAAACAGCAAGCAGAGUGUCCACCUCUUUAGUCCAGAUGAUUAGCACCCAGCACCUGUGGUGACGUGCUCCUCAGAGCGCUCCUUCCUCAGGGGGCGAAGCUGGCAAAUGCGACUGGGGCAGGCGCAAGUGCUGGCAUCAGUGUGGGGUCACCAGCUAACACCCACCCCAGGAGGUUUCAGCCUGACGUGGGGCUGAGCAGUGGCCAUCACCCUCCCUGCCUCUGAUGCCCACGUGCCUGAGGGCCAGACACCUUUCCUGGCCCUGUGUCUGCAGCAGGCAAGGAUGAGGAGGCGGGCGACAGCAGGUGAAGUGGAUGUUCUCUCAUUAGCUUGCCCCAGUCCUGGGCCAAGAUAGGGAGGAGAC